rnacentral:misc_RNA from 1 species
CUAGGGAGUUUGUUUUCUCUCUUGUGUCCUGGGUUUGUUGGGUUCUGUUGUGGGGCCUGGCCUGGGGUUGGUAUGGAAUGUUGCUUUGCAAGGUGGCGCGCUGUUGGGUUGUGGGGUAGCCAUUGUGGUUGUCUUGUGGCCUGGGGGAGGGUUUGCCUGUUGGGUGGGUUUUUCUCUGGGUGGGUUGUUUGUGAACUGUAUAGUGGACGCGAGUAUCUUUUUG